UACGUAGGCAGCAAGCGUUGUUCGGAGUUACUGGGCGUAAAGAGUGCGUAGGUGGUGCCCUAAGUCUGUUGUGAAAUCUCCCGGCUUAACUGGGAGGGUGCGGUGGAAACUGGGGUGCUUGAGUGUGGGAGAGGUAAGCGGAAUUCCUGGUGUAGCGGUGAAAUGCGUAGAUAUCUGGAGGAACACCGGUGGCGAAGGCGGCAUUCUGGACCAUAACUGACACUGAGAGACGAAAGCCAGGGGAGCAAACGGG
rnacentral:rRNA from 1 species